GAUGAACGCUGGCGGCGUGCCUAAUACAUGCAAGUCGAGCGAACGGACGAGAAGCUUGCUUCUCUGAUGUUAGCGGCGGACGGGUGAGUAACACGUGGAUAACCUACCUAUAAGACUGGGAUAACUUCGGGAAACCGGAGCUAAUACCGGAUAAUAUUUUGAACCGCAUGGUUCAAAAGUGAAAGACGGUCUUGCUGUCACUUAUAGAUGGAUCCGCGCUGCAUUAGCUAGUUGGUAAGGUAACGGCUUACCAAGGCAACGAUGCAUAGCCGACCUGAGAGGGUGAUCGGCCACACUGGAACUGAGACACGGUCCAGGCUCCUACGGGAGGCAGCAGUAGGGAAUCUUCCGCAAAGGGCGAAAGCCUGACGGAGCAACGCCGCGUGAGUGAUGAAGGUCUUCGGAUCGUAAAACUCUGUUAUUAGGGAAGAACAUAUGUGUAAGUAACUGUGCACAUCUUGACGGUACCUAAUCAGAAAGCCACGGCUAACUACGUG
rnacentral:rRNA from 1 species